rnacentral:RNase_P_RNA from 1 species
AGUGGCAGUUGGUUGAUCGCUGUGAUUCACUUCAUAGAGGAAAGUCCGGGCUUCAUUGUAAGCAAGGUGCCGGAUAACGUCCGGCGUUGGUUGUCGAAAGAUAUCCAAUAGGGAAAGCGCAACAGAAAGUAUACCGCAUCGGUUUCGAUGUAAGGGUGAAAAGGCGUAGGUAAAAGCUCACCGCAUCUCUGGUAACAGGGAUGGCACUGCAAACCCCACCUGAAGCAAGACCAAAUAGGGAUGGCGUGAACUAGUUUCGUGAGAGCUUACACUCGUAGUCAUCCGGGUAGGUUGCUCGAGCUUAUUGGUAACAUUAAGCCUAGAUGAAUGAUCAAACACGGGAGAUAUCUCCUCCGACAGAACCCGGCUUAUAGACUGCCACUGGAU